CACGUAGGGGGCGAGCGUUGUCCGGAUUUAUUGGGCGUAAAGGGCUCGUAGGCGGCUCAGUAAGUCGGGUGUGAAACCUCCAGGCUCAACCUGGAGACGCCACUCGAUACUGCUGUGGCUAGAGUCCGGUAGGGGAGCAUGGAAUUCCUGGUGUAGCGGUGAAAUGCGUAGAGUAUCGAGAGGAACACCUGCGGCGAAGGCGGGUCGCUGGGCUGACCAGUCGCGUGAGUGCGACGAAGCUAGGGGAGCGAACGGG
rnacentral:rRNA from 1 species